rnacentral:rRNA from 1 species
UACGUAGGGUGCGAGCGUUGUCCGGAAUUAUUGGGCGUAAAGGGCUCGUAGGCGGUUUGUCGCGUCGGGAGUGAAAUCCACUGGCUUAACUGGUGGCUUGCUUUCGAUACGGGCAGACUGGAGGUAUGCAGGGGAGAACGGAAUUCCUGGUGUAGCGGUGAAAUGCGCAGAUAUCAGGAGGAACACCGGUGGCGAAGGCGGUUCUCUGGGCAUGUCCUGACGCUGAGGAAGCGAAAGUGUGGGGAGCGAACAGG